AUUGAACGCUGGCGGCAGGCCUAACACAUGCAAGUCGAACGAGUGGCGGACGGGUGAGUAAUGUCUGGGAAACUGCCCGAUGGAGGGGGAUAACUACUGGAAACGGUAGCUAAUACCGCAUACCAUCGGAUGUGCCCAGAGGGGAUUAGCUAGUAGGUGGGGUAACGGCUCACCUAGGCGACGAUCCCUAGCCGGUCUGAGAGGAUGACCAGCCACACGGGGACUGAGACACGGUCCAGACUCCUACGGGAGGCAGCAGUGGGGAAUAUUGCACAAUGGGCGAAAGCCUGAUGCAGCCAUGCCGCGUGUAUGAAGAAGGCCUGCGGGUUGUAAAGUGCUUUCGGCGAGGAGGCGUUAUUCACAGAGAAAGCACCGGCUAACUCCGUGCCAGCAGCCGCGGUAAUAC
rnacentral:rRNA from 1 species